AUACUUUUUUUUUCUGAUAGAUGAUUCCUGUAUUGUCAUAGAUGCUUAUAUUUGUUGCUUUGUACCUUAUAUAGGUCAACUUUAAUUAGAGGCUUCAAAUAUAUUGUAGCUUAUGCACAAGAUGAAGAUUUAACUUGAAUAUCUCUGAUUGUGUCGGAUCUUUACUCUCUAAAAAACUGUCUGACUUGCCUGUUUACACCUUCCCAUCCAUUUUUACAUUUUAAUCUCAGCCUUUGGUACAGUUAACUGGGAGAAGAGAGGUGGGAACUUCAAGAUCAAACCUCAACCAUUUCCAUUUAUAGUUUCUAGCAUUGGGUACAUGCAGUUUGCAUGUCAGGGUCUGAAAAGUGUGUCUAUGUAUAUUCUUUCCAUUUAUCAAUGCUCCAAGAUAUUAUGAUACAUGCUGAGAUCUUAUAUUGGUUCAUGCCAUGAUAUUUUCCUUUGUUUAAUGAAUCUUGAGACCAAUCAAAUCUGGGGCACGGGAUAUCACAAAUACUUCGAUUUUCAAUGUUUUUAUGAGUAAAAGGUUCUCGCAUUAGGUGCAUAAAGGUCUGUUAUUCUGUGGAAGGAUAGGGCUUCUUUGAUCUGAACCAUGCCAUAUUUUGGAAGUUAUAGGCGCUUGUGUGUACUAUGCAACAUAACUGUUUUGCUUAAACUUUUUAUUGUGGCUCAUUCUAUUAGUCUAUACAAUUAAAUAAAUAUUGCAGACGAGAAAUUGGGCUAGGUUGACACGCAGCGGCAGAAGCUUAGCGUCCCUCUCAUGCUCACUGCGAUGAGAAGUUAUUUAAAUUCAGUUGCAAUUGGCCAUGAAGACUUAUUUUUUACGAAAUGGAGUCCAUGAAGACUAUGGCUGAUGACAACACCAACAAUUCAGGCAACAACCCUCCCUGUUUAGUGUAAUUCUAUCUUCUUGGAAGAAGUUAUCUAGCAACCUAAACAGAGCAAGAAAAAGUGACUGGGACAUCCUGUCGACCGUCCUUGUCGUUGCCAUCGCCAGAGAUCAUUUGCACGUGUGUGCCAUGGGAUGGAAUUGGUGAGAGAUUUCUUGGUCUUUAGUUGGCUACCCUGCUUUGGAAUUACUCUGCAAUAUGGAAAGCAAGGAAGACAACAUUUCUAUCUAUACUAGAUAUUCUUGCCAGGGAAGAAGCUAUCACCAAUGUUGGUGCAUAAACUCCUUGGUCAGCUGAAUCAGAAUUAAGCAGCUUAGUCUUAGUUGUAGAUGAGGGUAUUACCACGCCAAGAUUAUACAUUGUUAUACUGAAAAAAGUUAGUACGAGAGGUGCAGGGUGACUCUUUGGAUGAUGAAGAUUAGUCAGUAGGUAUCAGAACUCGGUCAGUUAUGUGAGAAGUUUCAGUGUUUCUUUUUUUUGUCACAGAGCGUCGAUGGCUGGAGAUUGUUGAAGCACUUUGGUUGUACGAAUCAGAUGCUACAGAUUUUCAUUGUAAAUACUACUACCUGUUUGAC